rnacentral:lncRNA from 1 species
AUUGGUUCUGGAAGUUUUGGCUCAGUUUACAAAGGCAUUCUCAGAAGUGGAACUGCCAUUGCAGUUAAAGUGUUCAACCUGCAACUGGAUGCGGCAUUCAAGACUUUUGAUACGGAAUGUGAAGUUUUCUGUAGCCUUCUCCAUAGGAAUCUCGUAAAAGUCAUUACUAGUUGUUCCAAUCUUGAUUUCAAGGCUUUAGUGCUCGAGUAUAUGCCUAAUGGAAGUCUUGAGAAGUAUUUGUAUUCGUACAACUACUUCCUUGACACCAAGAAGAGACUUAGCAUAAUGAUAGAUGUGGCAUGUGCUUUGGAAUAUCUUCACCGUGGGUGCUCGUUGCUUGUGAUUCACUGUGACGUGAAGCCUAGUAACGUCUUGCUGUAUGAAGACAUGGCUGCACACCUAAGCGACUUUGACAUUGCAAAACUUCUUGGUGAAGAUGAGGGUUAUUUAAACACUAAAACCUUACAACAUUAGUUUAUAUUGCGCCAGGUAUGUGAUACAAGAAUUACAAGGACAACACAAAACACACUUCAAAAUCAGUCCACAAGAUCAAAGAUCCGAGAACCCUUUUGAAGACCACACUCGGAUUCAACAAACAACAACAAGAAUACAAUGUAUUGUUGUGUUUAUCACCUAAAAACAUCUAACAACAAACUAUGUUAACAACAACAAGAUGAAGAACAACAACAAUGGAACAAGAACAACAAGUCACGGAUUUGAAUUACAAGAACACAAACAAACGAUUACAACAUAAACAAAAUGGAUAGAUAGUUAGACAUUGGUUGGUAUAAUCUUAAGAAUCCAAGAAUAUGGUAAUCUUGGACCCUUAACACUACACACAACGGUUAGCCUAACUCCUACGUUGACACAAGAGGAACUUUACCUCCUCUAAACACCCUCUCAAGCCAACAUUGCAACACAAGUGAUAUCCGCACUUGUUUCCCUCAUUUCGGUGUGGUGGCUAUUCCAAGCCCUACAACUAAAGGUUUUUCAUGUUUCAAGUCUUACAUCAAUGAACAACUAAUGAGAAAAAGACCUAAAAUUUUCUAUUUAUAUUCUAUUACAAGACAAGACAAAAUGACAACAAUGCCCUUAAAGGGUGGGGUGGCCAUGGGACCCAAUGAAGUGACCAAAAUACCCUUAAUGAAGAUGACCAAAUCAUGACCCAUUAAGUGUUUUCCAAAACCGUGAGUCCUCAAGUCUUCGAUGCUCCAAGCAAUCUUCCACACACGGCCUUGCUUGUGCUCAAAACGGGUCUUCCUUGCAUAUCCUUGUGCCCUCGGGGUGACCAAGUCUUGAGCCUUUAAAUGAUGACCUCCAAUCGUGUCUUCAAAAAUUAAGGUGGCCAUUUGACUUGUAUCAUUAUGUCUCUUAGUUUUGCUGGUUACUCCUUUCUUUUUUUCCCACCUAGAAAGUAUAUUGCAUCUUUAAAUGAAUUGUUUGACUGUAGAGUAUGGACUGGAUGGACUAGUGUCUACAAAGUGUGAUGUCUACAGUUAUGCGGUCUUGUUUCUGGAAACGUUUACUAGGAGAAAGCCUAAUGAGUUUGAGGGAGAUCUUAGCUUGAAGCAAUGGGUGAGUUAUUCACUUCCUGGAGCAGUAAUGGACGUCGUAGAUUCCAACUUGGUAACCCAAACGGGUAGUCGCUUACAGAUGGAGCUAGAUGUUGUGGGAUCAAUAAUGAAAGUGGCUAUAGAUUGUUGUGCUGAAUCUCCGGCAAGAAGGACUAACAUGAAAGAUGUUGUAGGGAUGCUACAGAAGAUCAAUAUUCAACUUCUUGCAUGCUAAGCAUAUUCUCGGAAUCUCUCCAUCCAGACUACUUGUUUGUUGCAAAAGUUUUCUAAAUUGUUGGAUUUAUGUGAAGAUUGUUAUUAUUUUUAUUUUUUGUUUUAGUACUUGGUUUCUGGAUGAUUCCUUUUUCAGAAAUGUUAGCUGGCUGCUGUGAAUCUUAGAUUCUGUUUUCAGAAAUGCUAGCUGGUUAGUAUGAAUCUUACUGUUUCCUCUUUAAAUUGAAUAACUAAAACCAAAUUGAUCCUCUUGAAAAUCUUGAAGCGGAAUGAAUUUGUUUUAAAUGUCUUACAUUGGAAACACUAUCAGGACAUAUAACAUCAUGACAACAAGCAUAACGGGCAAUGAAAAAAAUGCUAUAUAUCAUAAAGCUAAACGAUAAAAAAGGCAGCUCAGUGCACGAAGAUCUUGCAUUCACACGGGAUAUGGAGAAGGAUCGCCCCCAGGUAUUGUAACACAGCCAACCUACCCGACACAAAUAGCAAUGACUGAUUCCACGACUCAAACUCGUGACCUAUAGGUCAUGCUUCCCUAGAAGCUUACAUGACGAUAAGUGAAGAAAAAAGAAAAUUUGCAUUAUCUUUUUACAUUCUUUUUUCAAUACAGUACUGAUAUGAAACUCUAAUGAAGCAGAAAAUCAGGCAACAUUCUUCAAGAUUUUCCAAAUCAACCAAUUAAGACUAGAAAAAAAUUUAAUUAGACCCCUCAAUGUUAAGUUCUAAUUUCUUGAGUUAUUAUUACAAAACUUCAUGUAUUUUGCACUGUAUCUGAGUCCUUUUCGCGGCCAUACCAAGCCUGUAAAUUUAACAAUGGACAGAGUUAAAUUAGCUCCAGGUAUGCCUCCUGUUCUGUUCGAGUAGUGUCUCACAGUCCCUUUUUGGUACAGUUGAUGGUGUGAGAGACAAGUCUAAAAAUGCAUUCUUUGCUCUUCGGGGCCCUUUGCCAUAUUAUCAGACUAACUCUAAAAAUGGCUCAUCGUUGAGGUGAUUCAGGUGCAGAAGUCUAGAAUCUUAUUAGUAUAGUCCUUUCUGAUUGAUUCAUAAAAGAUUACAAAAUUGUACAAGGAUUUGAGAGCAGUCCGUUAGUGCUUCAAGGUGUAUUGAUUCUAGUAUAAACUUUGAUCCUGAUGAAAUCGUGUUUUUUAGCCUGAGGUAUUAAGUGUAUUCAUACCCUUUCAAAAUUCUUGUUGCUGGGAAUGCUGUGUAGCAGAAUGUUGGAACUGUAUUUUCACCCGAGUAGUAGUAUAUGUUAAAGUGUCAUGACCUAUUGGUAGUGAGAUUGGGCCAAGAAGUUGGUGAUAUGAAGUCACAAGGUUAGAAGUCAGAGUGAGGGUGACUUUGUGUAAUAUUUGUAGAUUGUAAGGUAUUCGAUAAAGGAAGUGUUUGGCCGUGAUUAUUAUCUAUUCAAAUAGGGAAGGAUCUCAGAAUGGAUAGUUGUUGUGGGUAUAGAAAUCAGUUAUAGGUUGUAAAUGGAGAAGGAACAGAUUAGUUAAUAAGUUGUAGGAAAAGACUCAUUAUUGUUUAUUGAAUUUUGAAGGUCAUUUUGAUGUAUGAAUGGGUAAGUAAAUAUGAUAUGAGAAAUUAGAACAUGUUGAUAAGAUUGUAAUGGGUUAUAAUAUAAGAUUAAGGUUGACCAUGUUUAUUAUGUGACCUUACCUUCUUGACCUUCUUUUCUUUAGUGGUUGUAAACUAGUACUUCAUGUGAGAAGGUAUGUAGUAUAUUUUGAGCUGUAAUAGUGAUGUCGUGGAGGGGUUGUGAUUGUAGGUAGUAGUUAAAUGAAAUGAAGUAUUUUGAGUUGAUUUUCCAAUUUGACGGACUAGUAUAAUAUGUUGCAUGCUUCAUCGGUGGUACAUGGUUGUUGCUAGACUAUAGGCUUGAACUUUAAAUGUAGAACGUGGUGGUAAGAAUAGUAGCUUAAGAUUAAUGAUGCAUGUUUUGUGGAGAAAUUAGCAGGCUUGAUGUGAUGUGCGAAAUGGCCUAGGUUGAUGAUAUAUGAAAAGUUUAAGUGGUAAUCGUGAGGUAUAUGUGUACAUGAGGACUAGUCAUAAAACGAGGAAUUGUGGCUGAAUCAUUAUGUGGAUAAGAACAUGAGUCUAUGGGAAUAAGUUGAACCCCUGAUAGCACGUUGCUAAAUAGAGUUUUAUGUGUAUAAAUGUUUUGUGUACCUAGAUUUAAUUCUUGAAUCUUGUAGUAUGGAGAAGUUUGGAAAGUUUGCACAAAGGAUUGAUCUUGAUCAUCGAUUUCCACUGACAAUCCACUAACUCCGAAGCUAAUUUGAUCCAAUCUAGACUUUUGGAACAAAGACAGUGGCAUGUUACCAUUCAGAUUAUUCUUCUGAACAGAAAGAUACGAAAUCUUAGGAAGCUGAAGUAGGCACGAGGGAAGGCGUCCUGUUAGCUCGUUCCAUUCUAUAUUCAGGUACUCCAGUGAGAGGAUCUGACAAAUCGAAGUAGGAAUAUACCCUCGUAACCCAUUCUGGAACAUAAAUAAGUAUUGAAGGCUUGUCAAACUGGACAUGGAUACAGGAAGCUGGCCUGUGAUGUUGUCAUUAAGCAUCAAUAUAUGUAAUUUCUUAAGCUUUGUAAUGGAAGAAGGUAUUAACACUUGGAUCGAGCAUCCAUUAGCUAAGGGAACAGUUAAUGAAGUUGAGUUGCUUAAAGAAGGAGGAACCGUUCCACCUACCCGAGUGAAGCUUAUGUCAAGAUAUGUUAAACUUUGACCAUGGGACUGAAAACAUUGUAACAAGAUCUAUGGUCAUAGCAGGAUUGCUAGAAACAGAAAGUUUUUCGAGUUGAGGAAGAUAAGGGAUAUGACCAUCUACAUCGUUUCCACAAAAAUCAAGAGCUGAGAGGAUUGUGAGGUUCGAUAAAAUAUCAGGUAUCGAGGAUGUUAGAACGUUAGAACUCAUUUCUAGAGUAGAAAGACUAGUAAUAUUAAGUAAUUGCGCUGUCGGAAUUCUUCCUGAAAUGUUGCAGUUGGACAAUUGGAGUGACAUGAGAUUUGAAAGACUUGAUAUUGGUUUAGCCCAAUGAAAUGAUUCCGAGGACUUUGAUAGAUCAACACCUGUCAAUACUAGAUAUCUGAGACGUCGGAGUCCUUCUAACCACCUUAGAUUUGGACUAGACAAAUAACCAUAGCUUAUAAAAGAUAACAGUGAGCCAGAACCUAACUUUGGCGGUAAUGUCAAGCUAACAGUAAUAGAAGACGAAUCAGGUACUAAAUUAGCACACAAAAGAUCAAGAGACCUUAAAGAUGUAAGAUUUGAGAAUUGUGUGGUGAUGGAAUCUUGAAACAUGGAAUUCGACUAUGUCAACUUUGUUAAGUUCGAUAUCUCAGCAGGUAACUUUGAGAAAUGAAGUUGUUGAAACUCAGGUCGAGAUGUUGGAUAUGAUCAAGAGUGAAGAGCAAUGGAGAUAUAGUACCUUUAAGGAAAAAAUCGGACGCGUUGUUAGAAUCUGAAACAACUUCCUUAUUGACAUUGAUUAGGACUUCAUCUGGAUUAGGAUUCCGGAGAUUGACAACUGCAACAUGACCUGAACUCGAGCACUUGAUUCCUUUCCAUUGCAACAGUUUUCGCCCUUCCAUGAAGAUAACCGAUUAGAUGGAUCAGUCAGCAAGGAUUUGAAGCUCAAUAGAGCUGCUCUUUCUCCUUCAUAGCAACCACCAACGAGCAAAAAAGGGUAAAAUAGAGUAGCAAAUAUAAGGAAAACUUUCUUUAACCAAAUGAUUUCAAGAUGAUGAAAAAUAUCCUAGAUUGUCAAAUAUAACAUAUUUGUACCUGUUCUACUUAUACCCCUUGAACUAAAUUAUUCCAUUGGUUUUAAGAUAUAAUUUGAAAAAUGAGCUGGUUUUGACUUUGACAAAGUUAUCUGUCAUUCUAUAUUCCAUUGGUGUUGAAUACUAUUUUUGUCAUCUCCAUGCCUUCUACAAGUGUAUGGCUAUUGCUUUUUGUGAUACUAGUUUCUCGGCACGUUUGUUGCACGUGUAUGUCGAGUCAUAGUACGCGAUUUUGUAAAACAAUAUUUAUAUUAUUAAAUUAUAUUUUGAAUAAAUAUCAUUGGUAGGAGUACUUGCCGCUCCACCACAACCGUCAUUGGUAGAAGUGCAUAGCGAAAUCGGACUCAAAAGACUGCUGUCAUUGCUAGUUCUAUUCAAUUGCAGAAACUUAGUGUGUAUAUAUAUACAUGUCAUGGUUUACAGUUCACUAUUUUCAACACAAUUUUGUCUACUGCCCUCCAAUACCUAUUCCUCCAAUUGUCAUCUAUCAAGUACAACAGCAGAAAUACACCAGAUAUUCCUGCUACAAAGCCCGAGAAUAUUACUGCAAUAAAAAGGACAAUUUCUUAGUCGUAUCUGUUCUCUGUUGUUUCAGUGGUAGAGGGUCCAAUUUUACUGCAGUUCAUCCCAUCAGGAGAACCACAUAAGUAUCUGUUUCUGAUAUAUGCUGUUCCGUCUGGAUGUAGAGUGUCAAAAUGUGGAUGGGUAGGAAUCCGUUCGUUCAAAUUGUUGUAAGACAAGUUGAGAUACGCGAGAAAAUCCAACGUUGCCAAUGUCAUUGGAAUUUCACCUGAUAAUUGGUUGUAAGUGAGAUCCAAUGACUUGAGUGAAAUCAUCUCGCCAAUAGUCUUUGGGAUCAGCCCGGUCAGAUUAUUAUGUGAGAGAUGCACCCAUUAGUUAGAGAUAUGGGACGUGAAAUUAUACGCCAAGAUUCAACUAAGUAUCCUGAAAAGAGUAGAUUGUGGAAUUACAAGGACUCAUUAAAUGUUCUGAUAAAAAAAAUAGGUUCAGAUAUGAUUCCAAGGCCUGAGACUUAGGUUUUGUACAGCCAAAGAUAAGCCACCAAGAAUCUUCCAUCAUCCGGCAACAAAGGAGUACUUACAGGAAUGUGCCUACAUAAUGAGGAAAAUAAGGCUGUCACGCCAAAAUGAUCCAUCUAGGCAACCUCAGCCUCGUAAGAUCUCCUUUAUGAUUCUAAUAAAAACUCUUCCUUAAUAGAAUCACGUGGUAAACCAAUGAAGGUGGACUGCAUCAACACUGAUGCAUUUUCUGGUAUGCGCAAAUAAAGGCUGCUGCAGCUUGAUACUUAGCAGUUAAAGGAAAUUACAAGGAGCUCCCUAGGUCGUUGAGGUGGUUGUGUUAGCACCUCUUUCCUCUGAGUUGGGCUUCAACAUGGAAGUAUUAUACAGUGGGACUAAAACUCGUGUGAUUAGAUGUGUAUUGGGAGAAUUGUAAGUUGGAAAUGAUGAAGCACGUAAAUUUUUGUUUGUGGUGUAGACAAGUAGUGUCUCUAAUGUUUAAGUCUUUUCGUUGUGUAUUGUAAGAUGGAGAAUGCUUCAAUUCUUAUGUCCCGCGAGAAUCUCAUCUAAUGCCUUGUACCAAUCUUUAUCAGGCCGAGGAUUCUUAUAAAAAUUCAUAUCUUACAAUGUUUUGAUCAUGUGCUGCAAGACACAUGCCAAGAUCAUGUCGACAUCAAGCUUCAUUAGCUCAUGUUUCGUGCUUACACGUAUCCCUAGGGGUUAUCAUGAAUCUUUUUAACUGCCUUCGCAUAUUUUGUUGAGAAAAAAUGUUCAAUGCGAUGUUACGUUCUUUAUUCUACACUUUUAGAGCUUCAAAAGUCCCUACCCAUCAUUCGGGGACGAAUGACCCCAAGGGGGAGAUAAUGUAACACCCCGUACUUUCGGGCUAAAAUUUAGACCAUCGUUCCUACGCGUAUAGACCCAAAAUAAAUUAUUACUCGUUAAUAUAUGUGUGGUGAUCACUCCUAUAUGUGGGAAAACCUUUGAAUAUGAAUUGAGGUCACAAGAAUCCCCUAACUCUAUGACGAGUUGAAAACAAUUCCAUCGAUUAAGUUUUAGUAGACACUUCAACUUGGGUCAAAUUUCGUCGACCAUAACUUCUCUUAUAUAAUGAACUGGGUGUCCUGCUAUAUAUCAAAUGAAAGGUCUUUGAGUUUUCUUUCCAACGAAAUUUAUUUCGUCCAAAUCCAAUGUCGGAGUCAAAUGUUAUGCCUAUUUUACUUCAGCAUGUCAGCCUGUCAACCGAGGGACUGCUGCGAUCUUUUUUGUUUCCUUAGGGGUAUUUUCGUCCUUUCCCUCAUCUCACCUCAGCCACAACACGAAAUAAAAUCAGUAUUUGGGCAAAAUACAUCAAAAACUAAUCAAUUCCUCUCAAAAAUCCAACCCUAGUCCUUUCCCCAUAGAUCAAGAACUCAUCCCUAAGAUCAAGAAUUUCAAGAAAAGGAUCAAGAUCCGGGUUCCAUCUUUCAAACUAAAUAAUCUAAGGUACGUGGGGUUUUUCUAAACUACAUGGGGUUUUCAAAUCGAGAUGUAGGUCUCAAUUCCAUCAAAGUGAGCUUUCCCGUUUUCAAAGGUGAGAGUGAUUCCGAAGCCUACCUUGCAUGAGAGUUNNNNNNNNNNNNNNNNNNNNNNNNNNNNNNNNNNNNNNNNNNNNNNNNNNNNNNNNNNNNNNNNNNNNNNNNNNNNNNNNNNNNNNNNNNNNNNNNNNNNNNNNNNNNNNNNNNGGUAUGCUAAUACAUGGUGGGAGUAUGUUAAACGGUUUGGGAAUGAGAUGAUUGGGGGACAACCUCCUCCUUGGUUUCGAUUGAAGAACCUUAUGCGGCAAAGGUACUUGCCCGAGACUUAUAGGCAUGAGCUCCUUGCCAAAUUGUACAAUUUGAGGCAAGGGAGCAAGAGUGUCAUGGCUUUCUACGAUUAAUUUCAACAAUUGAUGUUGAAACUUGACCACUGAGGCGAGCAAGUAAGUCAUGACAUUGUGCACUUCAAGGUUGCACUUCAAGGUUGGGUUAAACAAGGACAUCUCCACUCGCAUGAUGCUUUACAAAUUCGACACCAUAGAUGGCAUCUUCCACGCGGCUUUAGAGGUUGGGAGGGAGCUCAAAGAGAACUCAUUCAUGGCUGCCCAACCUGAGGCCACCAAGGCUGUCCAAAAACAUCCUCCAAGAUAUGAAGGUAAAUUGAAUUCUACUUCCAAUCCCAAGGGGUUUCAAUGCUUCAAGUGUCAAGGGUGGGGGCACAAGGCUAAUGAGUGCCCAAACCGAAGGAAUAUAAACCUAAGGGAGAGUAGAUUGUACUAUCUUGGAGAAGAGGUCGGCAUUGAAUUGGUUAAGAAUGAUGGCAAACCGCAAGAUGGAGAGCAAGAAGAAGCCGAAGUGCAAAAUGAGGAGUAUGGAGAAGAUGUGUGGCCGCAAGAAGGAGAUUGUGAAGUGCCUUUGUAAAAGAGGUGAGCCUGUGAAUUUGUAGUUAAAUUCCUCUCAAGAUGGAGAGGAUGAUACAAGUUUGAUCAUGAUGAUGACACUUUUGAGUAUUUUUGUAGACUAGUCACUAAAGGGCCCUUUUGUCAUUUUAUCUAUUAUUGUAAUAUAGUAUAAAUAGAACAUUGUAGGGUUUAUUUCUUUAGUUGCUUAAUGAUAUUGAGAGAACACUCCUCUUAGAGGGCGAGAGUCCUAAAAUCGUAACUAGGGCCAUAUACAAGUGUGGAAUCACUUGUAUGUUGCAUUGCUUGAUACAUUGGUGCUUGGGUGGUGGACGCCUCUCUUGUGUCAAUUGUAAGAGAUAGGUGAUUAUAGUGUGUAGUGUUAAGGGUCCAAGAGUGUCAUAUGUUCUUGGGUUCUUAAGAUUAUACCUCCAUUGGUCUAUCUUUCUAUCUUUAUUUUGUUGUAACCGUUGGUAGUGUUCUUGUUGUGUAACCUUGUAAUUGUUCUAUUGUUGAAAUCUUAUUGUGUUGUUCAUCUUCUUCUUGUUGUUAAAUUAGUUUGGGUUGGCUGUUUUGGUGUCAAAUACACCAUUAUAUCUUGUAUUCUUGUUGUUGGUAGUGAAUCCGAGAGUGGUCACCAAAGGGGUCCUCGGUUCUUCAAACUUGUGGACUGUUUUUGUGUAUGUUUCGUGUCUUCUUGGUCUCUCUUGUAUCAAAGAGGAAGAAAUGAAGUUAUUACAAAUAAUGAGGCGGGAUGCCCUUUAGGCUUCUCAAUACCUUAUAUAAAUGGUCCAGUACUAUCCAAACGAUGUGCUUCCUUUUUCAUCAAGUUUUCAAUCAUCAAAGGUGACUAUGGCUGCCAUAUUAAUAGAAAAAAUUAAACAAACAAAAAUGCAAAAUAGUCAUCAGAAUUCUGGAGUUAAGCGUGUUUGAACUAGAAUAGGAUGGGUGGCCCCUUGGCCCUUGGGUAUGUCGUCAUAGUUGUUGUUGUUGUACAUAUUACGAAAAAACUAAUGCAUUCUGAAUUUUCUUCCAAAUAAAUGAUUUAUUUUACAAUUUAUUUUUUAGCGUGACACAUAAUUAGGUUUUGUCAUAAAAGCGGAAUAUAAUUCUGUUACAUCCAUUGUGAGAGCCUAGCAGUUGUUCUUCCAAAUGUUCUGAGAUUGUUCUACAACGAUUUUCUCGAUUCAUCAAAUCAAAUCAAAGUACACUCAUUCAGAUUUUUUGAUUGAUUAUCUUGGUCAUUGAGCAUGGUGAACAAUCGAACUUCAAAAUAGAACCACCCAGCACCGUGAUGAAGAAACUGGAGAUGACGCGUUGAUGAUUUGGAAGACCAAUAAUAUCAACUGGAUCGGAUAGCGACACUAAGAAAAGUCAGGAUUCAACUUCCUUUUGGCACAACCCCUAUGCACAAGUCCAAACUUUUUUUUUCUUCAUAUAGUUAAAUUUACUUUGUAUUUUUCUAAUAAAUCAAGCUUUAUAAAAACACCAGACAAUGGAUGUCACGCUUCAUUGCUUGCAAUUCAACAAUUAGGAACAAUCUCUUACAAAGCAAGACUUGGUUGACUUGCAGUCUUGAACAAUGUCUUUGGAGUUUGGCCUGAUUAGAGGAAUAAACAUGCCACCACAAUUACGGUUUGCAAGACUUGGUUGAUUCCAGUUACAUAUUUUUGAUUGCUUGAAUGAGAAAAUGGAAGUGUCAUUUGAAUGAGAAUUGACAUGCCGUCUUGCAAAAGUAUUUGGAGUUUGGACCUAUUAAAGAAAUAAUUUUGUCACCAUUACUACGGUUGCAAGUUGGUCAAGUGUUCGAGGCCCACAUAAGUUAGGGAACCAAUUAACUGAAGAGCUAAAUGACAACAACCAAUAAAAAUUAAUGUUGUGAUCUUUUUAAUAAUAAAAAAUUAUUAAAACAUCUCUAAAACAAGUAAAAGUUAAUUACCGUCAAGGUUUGUGGUGGGAUGGAUCAUAUAAGUCCUCUUUUAAUUACAGGUCUCAGGUUCGCAUACUGGAUAUGAAAACCCCUUUAAUGGGCCUUGCAUGGCAUAAAUUCGGAUUAGUCUCGGUUCCAACCCCCACUGGACAAGUAUUGUAGAACAUCUAUUUUUUGUAUUGUGAACAAGUAAAGAUGUAUUGAGGGAGUAAAUGUUUUUAGAUAUAUCUGUAUACUUUUCAUCUGACAGUUGUAGAGAAAAUGAAAGCAAGACUUGCUUGAAUUGCAAAUGUCUAUGGAGUUUGGAUAAACUAGAGGAAUAAUUUGGUCCCCAUAAUUACAGGUGCAGGGCCUACGUAUCCUAAAAAUGAAAUAUAGAAAACCAAGUAACUGAAGAGUCGAAUGAUAGGUGAAUUUUCGCACUAUAUUAUAAUUCAAUUUAAAAGUAAAUCACUAUAUUAUAAUUCUUAUUGAAAAGUAAAUGAUACAAGGAGUAUGGCGUUUCAGAUUAUGCAAUAGACAUCAUAGGCCGACAAUGAUGAAAUAACAACAAUUAUGCCAUUUUGAAAACUUGUGGAGAAAAAUAAAAUGUCGAGAUAACAAGAGAAUCCUCCAUUUUAAACAAACUAAAAAACAAUUAAAAUAAAAGAGAUAGAAAAUGUCUAGAAAACACCGAUACUUAAGAAAAGUUCACAAAUAAAAUGUUUGAAAGCUAUUUUGGCUUAAAACAUUUAAAAUAAGACAAUCCAAACAUGCUCCACAUGUUGUGUACUUAUUUAGAAUUUAAAAAAAUGUAAAAGCAUCCCAAAAAUUAAAAGUAAAUAGUCCCGUCGAGAUAUUAAACUACGAUAAAAUAAUUUGCUUACUGCGUUAUCUUUGAUCGAGAAUGUAAAUAGUUUUUCAUAUAUAUAUGUGUGUGUGUAUGUGUGUGUAUAUAUAUAUAUAUAUAUCCUAAAAAAUAAGUGACUAGAAUCAAUUAUAGACUAUGUUAGUGUACAUAACUUUAGUAGAAGGCAACUUAAGGGAGUGUCUGGAUUGAUUAGAGCAAUAACUUUUCCACCAAAUGUACAUUUAUAAAAACUUGUGUAUUUUUGGUCUUCUCCAAUUUUAUCAAAUCUUUGAGGCCCACAGAACCUGAAAAAUUUUCUAAAAUAAUGGCAGCCAAUACAAAUUAAUGUUAUAUAUUCUUUUAAUAAAAAAAAAAUUCUCAAAAACAUACCCUCAAACAAGUAAAAAUUGCAAAUAAAUUACAAACCAUAAUUAAAAGCUCCAUUUAUACUACCAUCUCAUUUUAAAAUGAGCUAAAUUAACUUCUACAAAAAGUAACUAGAAUGUAAAAGUCUACAGAUUCUGUCCUCGAUAGAGAUAAAUGGAUUAUAAACAUGUUAUGAUCAGUUAUAUAAACUAUCGGGAAAAAGGUCCAAAAAAUAUAUCUAAAUUUUGACGAAAUUUACUGUAACACGCUUUAACUUUAUGGAGGUCCUAUGAUCCCCUAAAUAAUAUUUUACCGUAUUUCUGUAGAUAUAUAUGCUUAACUAGAUCACUUUAGACCCUUAUACGCGCGGUGUGUAUUCAUAUACAGUGGUCUAGAUAGCAAAUAUAUGCCACAGAAAUACGGUAAAAAAUAACUAGAGGGUGAUAGGGCCUCCGCAAAGUUAAGACGUGUUACAACGAAUUAAUUUUGAUAAAGCUUAGGUAUAUUUCGGACCUUUCUCCCUAAACUAUCUUAAUCAUGUAAAAAUAAUUCUGAAGAAAAUAAAGGGGGAAUUUAUGAACCAUAUUUACAAUUCUAAUUGAAACGGGCAAGACUUGGUGAAAUUAGAAUUGAUAUGACCAGUGGUGGAACCAUAUCUUCGUUGAAAAUAUACAUUAAGUAGCUAGGUAAAAAUAUAUUUUUUAAUGCAUAUAUUACAUAUUGACACUUCUUGACAUAUGUCUCUACCGUUAAUGUGAGGGACAUAUACGUAUCAUUUCAUUAACGGUAGCGGCAUAUGUGUACCUAAUGUGUGACGGAUGAUAUAUACGUACCAUUUAUCAUAGUACGAGGAUAUAUUUGUCCAUUUAGUAGAAUAUCUGACGCUUGUCGAUACCAAUCGGAUGUGGAUAAGACAAUCAAUCAGUGAUAAUAUCAAUAGUCGAGUUUGUCAUAACAUCAAUAAAGAGUACAUAAAUAUGCCUUCACAAAACAACAUAGCCAACAUAGCAGUAUGGCGUUACAUAUUAGCCAAGCAACUCACCAAAUAUCUCCAGAAGUAGACCCUCUUGACUCAAUCAAGCAUCAUUGUCCAGUCGUGCUUGUAAUGCAUGAGUGUGGAAAGCACGUCUUAUGUGACAUAAUACACAUCAAACGUAAUGUAGGAAAAGAAUUAGCCACAUAGAACUUUUGUAGAAGGCAACUUGGAGAGUGUUUGGACUGAUUAGAGGAAUAACUUUGCCACCAAAUGUACGUUUAUAAAGAGUUGAUGUAUUUUUGGUCUUCUCCAAUUUUGUCAAGUAUUUGAGGCCCACAUAACCAGAAAAAUUCUCUAAAAUGAUAGUAGCCAAUACAAAUUAGAGCCCGUUGGGAUAGGAUUAAAAAAAUAAUUUUUUUAGCUUAAGUGAUUAAAAACUUAAAAUAAGUGCAUAUAAAUUAAGUAUAUAAGUGUUUGGAUAGAAGUGUUGACACUGAAAAAAAGUUGUUGAUGUGUUUGGUAAACAAGUGAUGUUAAACACUUUUUUAUUGUCAAAAUAACUUAAAUGUCCUUAAAGUUGUUAACACCAUAAAUAACGUGAAUUAUUUAUAAUUUUUAAUUCUAAAAUAAAAUUUUUGAGCAAACUUCCGAUGUAAUGAUGAAUUUGCUAAAAACAAAGGAGAAAGAUAAGAGGAAAUUGAAGGAAAGAGACGAACAGAAGCGAAAAAAAAGGAGAAAAAUAAUAUAUUUAUGGGCUACAAGUUUAUGGUAUAUAUCAUUGGAAUUAGAGGAAAAUAUAAGGGACAAAAAGAUAAAUAUUUUUGUCAAACCUUAAAGAAUUUUAAUCUAAGAAGUAAAAAGGUAGGGGUGCCCUGCUUCACACUUUCUACUUUUUUUAAUUAGUUUUUCUUUGCACUUUUUAAUUUUAUCAUACACUUAAAAAUGCUAAAAAAGAGAUUAAAAGUUGUUUUGAUCAGAAUUUAAUCCUAUCCAAGUCGGCUCUUAAUGUUGUGUAUUCUUUUAUAAAAAAUAAAGUUCAUAAAAACAUACUCUAAAACAAGUCAAAAUUUCAAACAAAUUAUAAACUAUAAUUAAAAGUUCCUUUUAUUACCAUCCCAUCCCAUGUAAAAGUCUACGGGUUCUGUCCUAACCAGAGAUCAAAGGAUUAUAUUAUAAACAUAUAAAAUAUGCAAAUCAUGUAAACAUAUUCUCGAACAUAUAUUAUAAGUUAAUAAAUAAAAUUAACCUAUUAGAGGAAUAUGGCAUACCAUGUUUGCACCACACAAUUCAAAUCUAGAUAAAAUAAAGCAAGACUUGGUUGACUUGCACAAGUCUAUGGCUGAUUGAAACGUGCAAGACUUGUUGAAAUUAAAAUUGAUAUGACCAAUGGCGGAGUCACAUAUUCAUCUAAAAAAUACAUUGUGUAGGUAUGUAAAAAUAUUUUUUAUGUAUAUAUUACAUAACGAUACUCUUUGAUUUUUUUAUGAGUUUACUUUUUAUAUUUUGAAUUUUUUUGAUAAAAAUUUUAAUUCUGCCACUAAAUAUAACAGAAUGAAUGAGGAAAACAUGAGUUUACUUCUUUAUAUUUUGAAUUUUUUUGAUGAAAAUUUUAAUUCUGCCACUAAAUAUAACAGAAUGAAUGAGGAAAAGUAUUUUUUUUCAAAAUCAUGAAGACCAAAAGGGAGACUUCAUUGCUAUUUGAAGUCUCAAAAUCACAUGUUAUGGAGCCUACCUACAAAUUUAUGCAAUAAUGGAGAAAGUCUUCACAUUUUUUCUCUUAACACUCUUGUUGCUUCUGGCUAGUUCAGCCAUGACUCAAACCAACGUUACCACUGAUCAAUUAGCUCUUUCGUCCUUAAAAUCUCAAAUCAUUUCCGACCCCUCUAACUUCUUGGAUGAAAACUGGUCUCCCGCUGUUUCUGUUUGUCAUUGGGUUGGAGUCACUUGUGGUUCUCGUCACCAACGAGUGAAAUCUUUGAAUCUUUCUAACAUGGCUCUUACUGGCAAGAUUCCUCGUGAAUUUGGAAACCUCUCAUUUCUUGUUUCUCUUGACUUGGGAAGCAACAAUUUCCAUGGAAAUUUGCCUCAAGAAAUGGCACGCUUGCGUCGGCUUAAGUUUCUUGAUUUAAGUUUCAACAGCUUCAGUGGGGAGGUUCCUUCUUGGUUUGGGAUUUUACACCAACUUCAAGUUCUAAAUCUUAGGAAUAAUAGUUUCACUAGUUCCAUCCCUUCUUCAUUUUCUAAUAUAUCCACACUUGAGACUUUGAAUCUGAAUUUCAAUUCUGUAGAGGGUUAAAUCCCAAAAGUGAUUGGAAGUCUCAUAAACCUUAGAGAACUAAAGUUAAGGGGCAACAAGCUCAUAGGUUCCAUUCCUCUGUCACUCUCGAAUGCCUAGAGGUUGGAGACUUUAGAUAUAACUCUUAAUUCACUUCAAGGAAACAUCCCAGAAGGGAUCGGCAAUCUUCACAAUUUACAAGAUAAUCAACUUACGGGGUCUAUACCAUUCACAAUUUUCAAUAUUUCUAGGAUCAAAAUCAUUGCAUUUACCUACAAUAGCUUAUCCGGAAAUCUCCCCAAUAGUUUAUGCAAUGGUCUCCAAAUACUCCAAGAGCUUUAUCUAUCCGCAAACAAGCUUCAUGGUCAUAUGCCUACAAGCUUAUCAAAUUGUUCCCAACUUCAACUAUUGUCUUCAUCAGAAAAUGAGUUUGAUGGACCAAUACAUAGUAAAUUGGAAGAUUGAGUAACUUGCAGAUAUUAGAACUCUCAUAUAACCAUUUCACAGGUAUGUUUUUAUCUUCUGAAUUGCUUCAGAAUUUUAUUUAUUACACGGAUAAUUUCAGUUAUUGAAUUAAUUGAGGUAUCAAAUAUAUUUAUCAUCUAUACUUAAUUUUUUUCUUUUUUCUUUUAAUACUUUCGUAUCACCAACAAUAUAAAAUUCUAAAAUCUUAGUGGAUUCUACCAUGGGAGAUUGACAAUUUAAACAAGGCUCAAUUCUUAUAUCUUAGCAAAAAUAGAUAAAACCAACUAUUUAAACUCAUUAGUAAUCCACUAUAUGUGUUUCCAGGUGAAAUACCCAAAGAGAGAAGCAAUCUAGUUGAGUUGAAGAAACUUGUUCUUGGGAUUAAUAGUUUUAGUGGUUCACUUGAUAUGGAGAUCUUCAACAUAUCAGGGCUGAGAAUAAUUGAUCUUUCAGUCAACAAUCUAUCAGGAAGCCUCCCACCAAACAUGUGUUCUAUCUUACCCCACAUUGAAGUGCUUUAUCUGCACAACUUAACCAAUCUUGUUGGGACUAUUCCUCAUUCCAUCUCCAAUUGUUCAAAACUUAAUAAUCUAGAACUUUCAGAAAACAAACUCACUAGCUUGAUUCCCAACUCACUUGGAUAUUUGACUCAUCUACAGUUACUAAAUUUACCGGGAAACAAUUUCACCAGCGAUUCAGCAUUAAGCUUCCUGACUUCCUUAGCCAAUUGUAGAAAUUUAACAGUUCUUGAUAUAUCUUUUAACCCUCUAAAUGGCAUGUUAACAGCCUCCAUAGGGAACCUUUCUACAUCUCUUAGAAAAUUUAUCGCCAUCAGUUGUAAAAUCCAAGGGCGAAUUCAAAAUGAAGUUGGGAACUUAAGCAGCUUAUUAUUCCUUGAUCUUUCUGGAAACAAUUUGGCAACUUGAGAAACCUUCAGCGCUUCGACUUGAGUAACAACGAAUUAACAGGAUUUGUUGGAGAUCAUAUAUGUAAACUGCAGCGUUUUGGGGAAAUUUACUUGGGUCAAAAUCAACUUUCAGGAUCUCUUCCUAAUUGUUUAGGGAAUAUUACUUCCCUUAGGGAGAUACAUCUGGGUUCCAACAAAUUGAGUUCCAAUAUACUACCAAGCUUAGGGAACCUUCAAGAUCUAGUGGUUCUUGACUUAUCAUCAAACAACAUGGUAGGUUCUUUACCUCCAGAAAUUGGAAAUCUAAAGGCUGCGACACUGAUAGAUCUGUCAAUGAAUCAAUUUUAAAAAAGAAUUCCAAGAGAAAUUGGAGGAUUGCAGAGUUUGGCAAACCUUACUUUGAGACACAACAGGUUGCAAGGAGCUAUACCUGACUCAAUGAGCAACAUGGUAGGUUUGGAAUUCCUAGACCUUUCAUAUAACAAUAUAUCUGGAAUCAUUCCUAAGUCUUUGGAGAAACUUCAAAACUUGAAGUAUUUCAAUGUUUCUGUCAACAAAUUCUAUGGUGAAAUACCCUCGGGAGGUCCUUUCCAGAACCUCUCGAGUCAGUUUUUCAUCCACAAUGAAGCAUUGUGUGGUUCUUCAAGAUUUAGUGUCCCGCCAUGCCCCACUUCUUCAAAGCAUAGAUCUAGUAGGAAAAAAUUACUAGUUCUUUUUCUUUUGCUGGGAAUUGCACUAGUAGUUGUUCCUAGAACCUUUAUUUUUUUCUGGAUAAGGUAUAGAAAAGGUAAAAGAGCUCCUCAACAAGCUGAUUCAUUGUCUUCCAUAACAAGAGAAAGAAUUUCAUACUAUGAAUUGAUCCAAGCAACUGAUGCGCUUAGUGAGAGUAAUCUGAUUGGUUCUGGAAUUUUUGGCUCUGUUUACAAAGGUAUUCUCAGAAGUGGAACUGCCAUUGCAGUUAAAGUGUUCAACCUGCAACUGGAUGCGGCAUUCAAGAGUUUUGAUACUGAAUGUGAAGUUUUGUGCAGCCUUCGCCAUAGGAAUCUCGUUAAAGUCAAUACUAGUUGUUCCAAUCUUGAUUUCAAAGCUUUAGUGCUUGAGUAUAUGCCUAAUGGA